rfam:Candidate division TM6 bacterium GW2011_GWA2_36_9 TS32_C0015, whole genome shotgun sequence.
GGCUAAUUGAAAAGGGCAUUUGGUGGAUGCCUUGGUAUCAGGAGACGAUGAAGGAGGCGGGAGACUGCCAUAAGCUUCGGGGAGCCGUCAACCAGGCUUAGAUCCGGAGAUUUCCGAAUGGGGAAACCCGACUUGGAGAACCCAAGUCACUUUUGUCUGAAUACAUAGGGCAAAAGAGUGAACGGCGUGAACUGAAACAUCUAAGUAGCGCCAGGAAAAGAAAACAAGUGUGAUUCCCGUAGUAGUGGUGAGCGAACUGGGAAGAGCCUAAACCUGUAUUAUGUAAACUGACGCGUGUUGUAAUGCAGGGGUUGUGGGGUAUAACAUUAAGAUGCGUUGAUCUUAUAUCGAUUAUUUUAUGCAUAGUAGAACAGCUCUGGAAAGGGCGGCCAAAGAGUGUGACAGCCACGUAAAUGAAAUGCAUAAAAGUCGUAGUUGUAUACCCGAGUAUUACGGAGCACGUGGAAUUCCGUGAGAAUCUGCCCCGACCAUGGGGUAAGGCUAAAUACUACCUGAUGACCGAUAGUGCACAAGUACCGCGAGGGAAAGGUGAAAAGAACCCCGAGAGGGGAGUGAAAUAGAAUCUGAAACCAAUUGUCUAUAAGCGGUGGAAGCGCAGUAUACGUACGCGCAACCACGUACCUUUUGCAUAAUGAGCCAACGAGUUAUUCCUAUGGUGCAAGGUUAAGUUUUGAAAGAACGGAGCCGUAGCGAAAGCGAGUCUUAAUAGGGCGUUUAGUACUAUGGGAUAGACCCGAAACCUAGUGAGCUACCCAUGUCCAGGAUGAAAUCUCAGUAAGAUGAGAUGGAGGUCCGAACCAGUGUAGGUUGAAAACUGCUUGGAUGAGGUGUGGGUAGGAGUGAAAGGCUAAUCAAACUAGGAAAUAGCUGGUUCUCCCCGAAAUAUAUUUAGGUAUAGCCUUGUUGGAUGAAUUGUGGUGGUAAAGUAACAGUCAUAGCUUUGGGGGCGCAAGCUUACCAGGCUUCAGCUAACUCUGAAUGCCAUAAUUUUUGAAAACAGGAGUCAGACUGUGGGGGAUAAGCUUCAUAGUCGAGAGGGAAACAGCCCAGAUCAUUAGUUAAGGUCCCUAAAUGCACGUUAAGUGGUAAAAGAUGUGAAAACGCAAAGACAGCCAGGAGGUUGGCUUAGAAGCAGCCAUCCUUUAAAGAAAGCGUAACAGCUCACUGGUCAAGUAUUUUUGCGCUGAAAAACAAACGGGGCUAAACGUGCUACCGAAACUAUGGCUUGCAUAUCUGUUCGCAGAUAUGCAGGGGUAGGGGAGCGUUCUUUAAUAGAUACAAGCUUGACCGUAAGGACAGGUGAUGUGGAUUAAAGAAGUGAGAAUGUUGGUAUAAGUAACGAAAAAAUAGGUGAAAAUCCUAUUCGCCGAAAGUCUAAGGUUUCCGUGAGAACGGUUUAUCCACUCAGGGUUAGUCGAUACCUAAGCCGAGGCCAAUUGGAGUAGGCGAUGGAAAGCAGGCUAAAAAUUCCUGCACCACUCAUAAGCGUUUGAACGAAGGAGUGACGCAGUAGGAUAGGCUGACGUGGACUUUGGUUUGCCACGCUAAGCGUCGAGAAGGAUAUUGUAGGCAAAUCCGCAGUAUCAUUAACUUUGAGGCGUGAUGGGCAUACUAAUUUUUAGGAAGAAGUAUGUUUGGCUGAUUUCACACUGACUAGAAAAGCUUCUAGUGAGCUUUGUGAGUGAUCGUACCGUAAACCGACACAGGUAGACGGGCUGAGAAUGCUCAGGCGUUGAGAUAACUAUCACUAAGGAACUCGGCAAACUAGCUCCGUAACUUCGGGAUAAGGAGUGCCUAGAAUGUAUACUUGUUCUUUUAGGAUUAGGAAAGCGUUUUUAGGUUUCAACAAAGAGGCCCAAGCGACUGUUUAACAAAAACACAGGGCUCUGCGAACUCGUAAGAGGAAGUAUAGAGUCUGACGCCUGCCCAGUGCUGGAAGGUUAACGGGAGAUGUUAGUCUUCGGACAAAGCGUUGAACUGAAGCCCCAGUAAACGGCGGCCGUAACUAUAACGGUCCUAAGGUAGCGAAAUUCCUUGUCGGGUAAAUUCCGACCCGCAUGAAUGGCGUAACGAUUUGGGCGCUGUCUUGGUGAUAGACUCAGUGAAUUUGUAGUACCGGUGAAAAUGCCGGUUACCCGCGACAGGACGGAAAGACCCCGUGCACCUUUACUAUAACUUGGCAUUGCUUUCUGGAUUUGUUUGUGUAGGAUAGGCGGGAGACUUUGAUGCUAUGGCGCUAGCUGUAGCGGAGUCGACCUUGAAAUACCGCCCUUAGAAAUUUGGAAAUCUAACUUUGAAUUCCCGUAAACCGGGCAAAGGACAGUGUCUGGUGGGUAGUUUGACUGGGGUGGUCGCCUCCUAAAUUGUAACGGAGGCGUUCUAAGGUUCCCUCAUGACGAAUAGUAAUCGUCGGAAGAGUGUAAAAGCUGAAGGGAGCUUGACUGCGAGACAUACAGGUCGAGCAGGUGCGAAAGCAGGAUUUAGUGAUCCAGCUGUUCCGAAUGGAAGGGCAGUUGCUCAACGGAUAAAAGGUACGCCGGGGAUAACAGGCUUAUCUCCUCUGAGAGUCCCUAUCGACGAGGAGGUUUGGCACCUCGAUGUCGGCUCAUCGCAUCCUGGGGGCGGAGAAGCUCCCAAGGGUUUGGCUGUUCGCCAAUUAAAGCGGUACGCGAGCUGGGUUCAGAACGUCGUAAGACAGUUCGGUCCUUAUCCGUCGUGGGCGCAGGGUAUUUGAGAGGAUCCGUCCUUAGUACGAGAGGACCGGGAUGGGCGAACCUCUAGUGUUCCAGUUGUUUACCAAAAGCACGCUGGGUAGCUAAGUUCGUAAGGGAUAACCGCUGAAAGCAUCUAAGUGGGAAACCCACCUCAAGAUUAGAUACCCCGUUUAUGAGAUUAAAACUUCGGUUUUGAUUGAGUGAACAUUAAUAAGACCCCUUGAAGACUACAAGGUUGAUAGGCUGGGUGUGUAAGCACAGUAAUGUGUUCAGCUAACCAGUACUAAUAGGUCGAAUGUUUUAGCUGU